rnacentral:rRNA from 1 species
AGUUAAGUGCUUGCACUUAACACGAGUGGCGGACGGGUGCGUAACGCGUAUGCAACUUACCCUGUACCGGGGGAUAGCCCGGAGAAAUCCGGAUUAAUACCCCAUAAAGUAUAAAUAGGGCAUCCUAUUAAUAUUAAAGAUUUAUUGGUACGGGAUGGGCAUGCGUCUGAUUAGCUAGUUGGUACGGUAAUGGCGUACCAAGGCGACGAUCAGUAGGGGUUCUGAGAGGAAGAUCCCCCACACUGGCACUGAGAUACGGGCCAGACUCCUACGGGAGGCAGCAGUAGGGAAUAUUGGUCAAUGGGCGCAAGCCUGAACCAGCCAUGCCGCGUGCAGGAAGACGGCCUUCUGGGUUGUAAACUGCUUUUAUUAGGGAACAAAGAGGCACUGCGGUGCAAGUUGCGUGUACCUAAUGAAUAAGCACCGGCUAACUCCGUGCCAGCAGCCGCGGUAAUACGGAGGGUGCAAGCGUUGUCCGGAUUUAUUGGGUUUAAAGGGUGCGUAGGCGGUCAGAUAAGUCAGUGGUGAAAUACUACAGCUCAACUGUAGAGGUGCCAUUGAAACUGUCAGACUUGAGUGCAGAUGAGGUAGGCGGAAUUUAUGGUGUAGCGGUGAAAUGCAUAGAUACCAUAAAGAACACCGAUAGCGAAGGCAGCUUACUAGACUGCAACUGACGCUGAGGCACGAAAGCAUGGGUAGCGAACAGGAUUAGAUACCCUGGUAGUCCAUGCUGUAAACGAUGAU